rnacentral:rRNA from 1 species
GUGAGGAAUAUUGGACAAUGGGCGCAAGCCUGAUCCAGCCAUGCCGCGUGCAGGAAGACGCAUCUAUGGUGUGUAAACUGCUUUUGUACGGGAAGAAACACUCCCUCGUGAGGGAGCUUGACGGUACCGUAAGAAUAAGGAUCGGCUAACUCCGUGCCAGCAGCCGCGGUAAUACGGAGGAUCCAAGCGUUAUCCGGAAUCAUUGGGUUUAAAGGGUCCGUAGGCGGUUUAAUAAGUCAGUGGUGAAAGCCCAUCGCUCAACGUUGGAACGGCCAUUGAUACUGUUAGACUUGAAUUACAAGGAAGUAACUAGAAUAUGUAGUGUAGCGGUGAAAUGCUUAGAUAUUACAUGGAAUACCAAUUGCGAAGGCAGGUUACUACUUGUGGAUUGACGCUGAUGGACGAAAGCGUGGGGAGCGAACAGGAUUAGAUACCCGAGUAGUCC